rnacentral:rRNA from 1 species
AACGAACGCUGGCGGCAGGCCUAACACAUGCAAGUCGAGCGCCCGGAUUUAUCCGGGAGCGGCGCACGGGUGAGUAACGCGUGGGAACAUGCCCUGAAGUACGGAACAACCUGGGGAAACCUUGGCUAAUACCGUAUACGCCCUGAGGGGGAAAGAUUUAUCGCUCUGGGAGUGGCCCGCGUUGGAUUAGGUGGUUGGUGUGGUAACGGCGCACCAAGGCGACGAUCCAUAACUGGUCUGAGAGGAUGACCAGUCACACUGGGACUGAGACACGGCCCAGACUCCUACGGGAGGCAGCAGUGGGGAAUAUUGGACAAUGGGCGAAAGCCUGAUCCAGCCAUGCCGCGUGAGUGAAGAAGGCCUUCGGGUUGUAAAGCUCUUUCAGCGGGGACGAUGAUGACGGUACCCGCAGAAGAAGCCCCGGCUAACUUCGUGCCAGCCGCCGCCGUAA